rnacentral:lncRNA from 1 species
UUCACAUUCAAUAUUUUUUAACAAAACACUCAAAUUCAGUAAACUCCACUCUCAAAUUACAUGAUUACAGUUUGGAUACAAUAUUCAGUCACACUAUUCAUUGACGUGUACACUCAAUUCAUAUAAAUUACAAGCUAAAUUUGGCAUUUCUCCUGAUGUUGCCGCUUCUCUGUUUACACAACUAAAAAUGUAGUUUCUGCACAACUGAAAUUGAACACACUUGUACACCAACGCAAAGGAAUCAC